rnacentral:rRNA from 1 species
ACUAUAAAGCCGUUAACCCCGCCCUGAGUAGUAUCAGUAACAACUUUAAACUCAAAGAAUUUGGCGGCGUCUUUACCCACUAGAGGAGCCUGCCCCAUAAAUGAUGACCCACGCUUCGAUAUGCCUGAGUUUAUAGUUUGUAUACCGCCGUUUAGGGUAUAUUAAAAAGUGUGCUCGAAAUAUAAUUAGUUAAUAUAUCAGGUCAAGGUGCAGCCUAUAUUCAGGAGGAGGUGGGCUACAUUAGAUCUAUUUAUUUCGGUGCUAAUUAUAAUAAUUAGAUUAAGCUGGAUUUACAAGUAAAAUAUAAAGUUUUUAUAUUUGAAAGGG